GAUUUCGCUUUUUCUGUGUGGCAGAGUGCUCCUUCUACUAUGGUGGGAUUCGUACCUCGUAUGCAUUGGCUGGAUGGCCAGAAGAAUGGUGUCCCAUAUCACAAAUAUGGAGGAUGGUGGUCAGUUUGGUGGAUGGGUGCUUAUAGUAUGGUUCUCUCAAAAGCUGCAUUCUUUCACAAGAAGUACUUGGACUUGUAUACACACAUGAUGCCCCCAUCAAUACAAGAUUAUGUAGCCAGGGAAAGGAACUGUGAAGAUAUUGCAAUGUCUUUGCUCAUUGCCAAUGCUACAGGUGCUCCUCCAAUUUGGGUGAAAGGAAAGAUACAUGAGAUUGCAUCAUCAGGCAUAAGUAGUCUUAAAGGGCAUAGUGACAGGAGAAAUAAAUGCCUGAAUGACAUAAUUUCCCUAUAUGGGACU
rnacentral:misc_RNA from 1 species